AGUAGUCAAGAGUUGCAGGCUUGAAGAAUGAAUAAAUACAAAAUGCACCCAUUUCUCCACAGACUAUUCCUAAAGAAUUGGACCAAUGGAUUCAUUCAGGCAGCAAGUUAAUUCAUCAUGUAAGGAAAAUGAAUUGAUUUCAUCCACAAGAGCAUGAAGUGAUGGAAAUGAUUUGCAGCUGCUAAGUAUUCCUUGUACAGUCUACCUUAAUUUGAAAAGCUGUUUAUGAAAUAAAAUUUCUUCAUAAAAAAAAUGAUUUGACUUUUUCAUAUACAUGUACUUACUGUACAGGUGUUGAAAAGGCUAUUAAGAUUUGAUAAUCUUGACUUGCAUAUAUUUGU